CCUACGGGCGGCAGCAGUGGGGGAUAUUGCACAAUGGGGGAAACCCUGAUGCAGCGACGCCGCGUGUGGGAAGACGGUCCUCUGGAUUGUAAACCACUGUCCCCAGGGACGAAGAUGACGGUACCUGGGGAGGAAGCCCCGGCUAACUACGUGCCAGCAGCCGCGGUAAUACGUAGGGAGCGAGCGUUGUCCGGAAUUACUGGGUGUAAAGGGAGCGUAGGCGGGGAUGCAAGUUGGGGGUCAAAACUACCGGCUCAACUGGUAGUCGCACUCAAAACUGCAGCUCUUGAGUGAAGUAGAGGCAGGCGGAAUUCCUAGUGUAGCGGUGAAAUGCGUAGAUAUUAGGAGGAACACCAGUGGCGAAGGCGGCCUGCUGGACAGAAACUGACGUUGAGGCUCGAAAGCGUGGGGAGCAAACAGGAUUAGAUACCCCUGUAGUC
rnacentral:rRNA from 1 species